UUAUGGCCAUAUCACAUUGAAACACCAGAUCUCACAAGAUCCCUGAAGUUAAGCAAUGUUGAGCCUGGUCAGUACCUAUAAGGGUAAUCGCUGGGGAAUAUCAGGUGCUGUAA